rnacentral:rRNA from 1 species
GACGGAGGAUGCAAGUGUUAUCCGGAAUCACUGGGCGUAAAGCGUCUGUAGGUGGUUCAAUAAGUCAACUGUUAAAUCUUGAGGCUCAACUUCAAAAUCGCAGUCGAAACUAUUAAAACUAGAGUAUAGUAGGGGUAAAGGGAAUUUCCAGUGGAGCGGUGAAAUGCGUAGAUAUAGGAAGGAACACCAGUGGCGAAGGCGACCACCUGGACUGAUACUGACACUGAGGUGCGAAAGCGUGGGGAGCAAACAGG